CCUUCCUGGAGGUGUCAUUAGAGGUAACUUCCUCCAGGUUGAGGAUAGAACCUGACAACUGGCCCUGUGGAACUCACCGAGGGAGAUUUUUCUCAGCAAGGGCUCUGAGGCUGGACUAUAAAUCGCCAGACACCCGGGCAAGGGUCUUCUUACAUGUGUCCCCCAUGGCCUGCCUGCCACAAAUUGGAAACUGAGAAGUAGCAAGGCCAAGAUGUUCAAGACAGAGCCUGGCCCGCAAGCAGCCCAGCGUAUAAUCUUUCUGGAAACCAUUACUGUGUUAUUAAAAUCCCCGAGGUUCCCAUGAAAGGGGUCUCCAAAGGAAGUUGUUGAAAACCCUUCCCCUAGUGGUGACACCAUCGGUGGACGAGUACAAGCCUUUGCUGAAUCUACUGAUUGUUUCUAUUGAAUCCAUUGUGGCAACUCUGCUCGUAAAUUCAAAGCAGGACACCGGUGACAAUGACAAGUGUGUGAACUCUGGGGCCAGACACUGGAAAAACAUUUCCAUGCAUUAUUUCAUCCCGCACUGGACUCCCGGGAAGUUGCUAUUUCUGGCUCUACAGAUGUGAAAAAUUAGACGCGGGGAUUUAACUUUCGGCAUCAACUCAUGUGUCAGGCUCCCAGGAAAGGCCUGCUCACAGGGAGAGCCUCGAAUAUAACGGCUCUAACGUUCUCACAUGUUUGUCUAUGGGGAGGUGAUCAGGGACCGCUGGAGGGAGGUGAUCCUGCUUCAGUACAUGUGACUUCAUCCCUGCCUUCAUUGUGGAUUUUCUAGAUGCUAGCAUUGCCCACUUCUCAGAGAAAGGGAGAAAUCCAGUAAGCGAUGGAGCUAGAAUUUGAAAAGAGGCCUGUGCAGGUCUCGACUGUGAUGUUCGAUAACCACUGAACUGACCUGCCCCUUAUUCCAACUCCUAACCAAAGGGCAAGCAUGACAAUGAUGACUUAUUCUUGUCCUGCUUACCAUUAUGACUUAAGAUAACCAGAGUUUAAGAUGGCUCCCAGUGACUCUUAACUGUUCGGCCUUAUAGCCCUGGUCAGGUAAUUCUCUCCCACCCUUCAGAGCGGACAAUACUGAGGAUAUGGCAGACAGCCUCCUCCAAUUAGAGAAAGCUAAGGCCCAAAAUACAGUGCAUUAUUUUCUUGGCCCAUUGGCUAGGGGGAGUCUAGGUGCCAUGCUAUUAACAGUUCUAUGUGGCGAGGGCUACAGAAUGAAGUAUCCAGGCCUCCCUGGGUUUGUUUCUUUUGAAACUUGCCAGUCACAUGAGCAAGCUACCUUGAAAACAGAUCCCCCCCAAACCUCAGCCAGUCCUCAGAGAGGUACAGCUUAGGCCCCAUCUUGAGCACAAUUGUGCAGUCCCCGAAUUAGAACAAGAGAAGGGAAUAAAUGCCCGUUUUUAUCUCGUACCGUGAAAUCUCCUGCUAGCUUACAAUGUAACAGAGAUAACAUCGACUUGAGAUGAUGUGCUUUUAAUAUAUCAAACUUGGACCACCGCUUCUGGAGAGCCUUUAUCCAGCAGCAAGUUCACAGUGCUUCCUCAGAAACCCUGCUUCUUUGCUGCACCGAGUGCCAUACAAAACUCGUGUGAUGGAGGAGGGUCAUCUGUCUAUCUGUUGCUUUCAUUGGUUAAUUAAUAAAGAAACUGCUUGGCUUGAUAGGUCAGAACAUAGGUGGGUGGAGUAGACAGAACAGAAUGCUGGGAAGAAGGGAAGUGAGGUCAGACCGCCAUGAAGCCAGCCACCAGGUCAGACAUGCUGAAUCUUUCCCAGUAAGCCACCACCUUGUGGUGCUACACAGAUUAUUAGAAAUGGGUUAAUCAAGAUGUGAAAGCUAGCCAGUAAGAGGAUAGAGCUAACAGGCCAGGCAGUGUUUAAAAGAAUACAGUUUGUGUGUUAUUAUUUCUGGGGCUCAGCUAGCCAUGUGGGAGCAGGCGGGACGAAAAGAAGGCCAGCCUGCAGCUUCUUCUGCACUCAAGUUUGUGUUUGUUGCAAGUUAGCUUCCUUUUCCAAACCGUGUGUUCCCUGAUAGCAGUGUCUGUGUGCAGAUUAAUCUGCCGAAGCCUAGCAGUGCUGACUUAUG